CUAAAACAUCUUUAUUUGAGCUUUCAGGACAUAGGAACACUAGUUAAACCACGGCAAGUGUAACUGUGCUUUUAUGUUGUAUGAGCUGUUUUAAAGUAGCCUGGCAUCAAAACAUGACCAGUAGAGGCUGUUCUGAUGGAAAGCAAUGCAGAAAACUACACAAUCGUUUUUUGAGCUUGUCAGGACAUAAGAACACUAGUUUAAACCUGGCAUCUGCAAACUGUGCUUUUAGGGUGUAUUGAGCUGUUUUAAAGUAACCUGGCAUCACAACAUGAUAAGUAUAGGCUGUGCUGAUGGAAAGCAAUGCAGAAACACUAAAACAUUGUUUUUGAGCUUUUCAGGACAUAAGAACAGUAGUUUAAACCACGGCAAGUGUAACUGUGCUUUUAGGGUUGUAUUGAGCUGUUUUAAAGUUGCCUGGCAUCAGAACAUGACCAGUAGAGGCUGUUCUCAUAGAAACCAAUGCAGAAAAACUAAAACAUCGUUUUUGAGCUUGUCAGGACAUAAGAACACUAGUUUAAACCUUGGCAACUGCAACUGAGCUUUUAGGGUGUAUUGAGCUGUUUUAAAGAUGCCUGGCAUCAAAUCAUGACCAGUACAGGCUGUUCUGAUGGAAAGCAAUGCAGAAACACUAAAACAUUGUUUUUGAGCUUUUCAGGACAUAAGAACAGUAGUUUAAACCACGACAAGUGUAACUGUGCUUUUAGGGUGUAUUGAGCUGUUUUAAAGUAACCUGGCAUCAAAACAUGACCAGUACAGGCUGUUCUGAUGGAAAGCAAUGCAGAAACACUACAACAUCAUUUUUGAGCUUGUCAGGACAUAAGAAGACUAGUUUAAACCUUGGCAUCUGCAACUGUGCUUUUAGGGUGUAUUGAGCUCUUUUAAAGUAACCUGGCAUCACAACAUGACCAGUACAGGCUGUUUUGAUGGAAACCAAUGGAGAAACACUACAACAUCGUUUUUGAGCUUUUCAGGACAUAAGAACAGUAGUUUAAACCACGGCAAGUGUAACUGUGCUUUUAGGGUGUAUUGAGCUGUUUUAAAGUAACCUGGCAUCAAAACAUGACCAGUACAGGCUGUUCUGAUGGAAAGCAAUGCAGAAACACUACAACAUCAUUUUUGAGCUUGUCAGGACAUAAGAACACUAGUUUAAACCUUGGCAUCUGCAACUGUGCUUUUAGGGUGUAUUGAGCUGUUUUAAAGUAACCUGGCAUCACAACAUGACCAGUACAGGCUGUUUUGAUGGAAACUAAUGCAGAAACACUACAACAUCGUUUUUGAGCUUUUCAGCACAUAAGAACAGUA
rnacentral:lncRNA from 1 species